rnacentral:tRNA from 1 species
CCGACCAUAGCUCAGUUGGAAGAGCAUAAGACUGUAAUUGGUUAUAUAUAUCUUGGGGUCGCCUGUUCGAACCAGGCUGGUCGGA